CUCAAUGAAAGUCCAUGCCUAGCAUUGAGGGGGCAUGGUGUGACGUCAAGAGGGGUGUGGCUGUGAUGUUACGACAAAAUGUUCCGAACGCUGGGGCAGUGGAGUACCCCUUUAAGAACGGUGCAGCAGUGAACGGCGCAGCAAUGAAUCAAAGUUUUAUUUAUGCAGAGACAUUUGACACCUGGGUCCUAUAACAAGGUACCUGUCACCGGUGAGAGACAGAUUGUCACUUGUACAUUGUACUUGUACGCUCAGCUAUAGCUGCUAAUGUGGAGCGACGGGAAGCUGGCAAAAUGGUCUGAUUAAUACUGAAAGCCUGCAACUAUGUAGCAGUGAAAAUUGGAAGCCUGUGUCGAAAAAAUGAAGAUGAGGAACCUCCAACUCCUUAUUCAUGCCCGGUGUCUGCAAAGGCAAAACCCAAUGAAGGUCCAGGACAAAAUACAGCAACAGAAGUAAAGACCACAAAAGAAGAUGCUCCAGGUCGCCCAGUAAAGACCUCAAAAGAAGAUGCCCGAGGUCAACAAUGCAGAUCCUGAGGGUAGUCGCUCCCAGUCACAUGACUGGACAGAAUCACCUUUACCUCCUACACCUGGAUUAAUCUGGAUCUGCUCCAGGUCAAAUGAAAACUGUAAUGUCAAAGCUCAAAAAUAUCUCUUUUAAUACUGAGACAAUAACUAUUACUUUCUUUAGAAACUAUAGGUUACCUUGUA